GCCCAGGUGGUGAAAUGGUAGACACGCCAUCUUGAGGGGGUGGUGCACUACGUGCGUGCUGGUUCGACUCCAGUCCUGGGCACGA
rnacentral:tRNA from 1 species